AACGAACGCUGGCGGCAGGCUUAACACAUGCAAGUCGAACGCACCUUUCGGGGUUAGUGGCAGACGGGUGAGUAACGCGUGGGAAUCUACCCUUCUCUACGGGAUAGCUCCGGGAAACUGGAAUUAAUACCGUAUACGUCCUGAGGGAGAAAGCUUUAUCGGGGAAGGAUGAGCCCGCGUUGGAUUAGCUAGUUGGUGGGGUAAUGGCCUCCCAUGCCGACGAUCCAUAGCUGGUCUAAGAGGAUGAUCAGCCACAUUGGGACUGGGACCCGGCCCAAACUCCUACGGGAGGCAGCAGUGGGGAAUAUUGGACAAUGGGCGCAAGCCUGAUCCAGCCAUGCCGCGUGAGUGAUGAAGGCCCUAGGGUUGUAAAGCUCUUUCAGUGGGGACGAUAAUGACGGUACCCACAGAAGAAGCCCCGGCUAACUUCGUG
rnacentral:rRNA from 1 species